ACGAACGCUGGCGGCAUGCCUAACACAUGCAAGUCGAACGAAGGCUUCGGCCUUAGUGGCGCACGGGUGAGUAACGCGUGGGAACCUGCCCUUUGGUUCGGAAUAACUCCGGGAAACUNGAGCUAAUACCGGAUGAGCCUGAUGGUUGUGGAGACUGUCAGGGAAAGAUUUAUCGCCAAAGAGGGGCCCGCGUCCGAUUAGGUAGUUGGUNAGGUAACGGCUCACCAAGCCGACGAUCGGUAGCUGGUCUNAGAGGAUNAUCAGCCACACUGGGACUNAGACACGGCCCAGACUCCUACGGGAGGCAGCAGUGGUNAAUAUUGGACAAUGGGGUCAACCCUGAUCCAGCAAUGCCGCGUGAGUGAUGAAGGCCUUNGGGUUGUAAAGCUCUUUNNGCACGUGACGAUGAUGACGGUAACGUGAGAAGGAGCCCCGGCUAACUUNNUGCCAGCAGCCGCGGUAAUACGAAGGGGGCUAGCGUUGUUUCGAAUUACUGGGCGUAAAGGGCGCGGUAGGCGGCUGUUUAAGUNAGGCGUGAAAUNNNNGGGCUUAACCUGGGAAUUNNGCUUNAGACUGANGGGCUUGAGUUNCGGAGAGGUGAGUGGAAUUNNNAGUGUAGAGGUGGAAUUUGGAGAUAUUGGGNAGGAGAGCGGUGGNGGAGGGGGNUNACUGGAGNGAUACNNNNNNNNNNNNNNNNNNNNNNNNNCCCAUACUNACGCUNAGGCNNAAAGUGGGGAGCGAACAGGAUUAGAUACCCUGGUAGUCCACGCCGAAACGAUGAGUGCUAGACGUUGGGGUUCUUAGAACUUCGGUGUCGCAGCUAACGCUAUUAAGCACUCCGCCUGGGGAGUACGGCCGCAAGGUNNAAACUCNAAGGAAUUGACGGGGGCCCGCGACAAGCGUNGAGCAUGUGGUUUAAUUCGAAGCAACGCGCAGAACCUUACCAGCUCUUGACAUCUACUGACCGGUGCGGAGACGCAUUUCCACUUCGGUGGCGGUGAGACAGGUGCUGCAUGGCUGUCGUCAGCUCGUGUCGUGAGAUGUUGGGUUAAGUCCCGCAACGAGCGCAACCCCCAUCUUCAGUUGCCAUCAUUUAGUUGGGCACUCUGGAGAAACUGCCGGUGACAAGCCGGAGGAAGGCGGGGAUGACGUCAAGUCCUCAUGGCCCUUAUGGGCUGGGCUACACACGUGCUACAAUGGUGGUGACAGUGGGCAGCGACCUCGUGAGGGGGAGCUAAUCUCCAAAAGCCAUCUCAGUUNGGAUUGUACUCUGCAACUCGAGUGCAUGAAGUUGGAAUCGCUAGUAAUCNCGGAUCAGCACGCCGCGGUGAAUACGUUCCCGGGCCUUGUACACACCGCCCGUCACACCAUGGGAGUUGGCUUUACCCGAAGCCGGUGCGCUAACCGCAAGGAGGCAGCCGACCACGGUACGG
rnacentral:rRNA from 1 species